ACGGGCCCCGCACAAGCAGCGGAGCGUGUGGUUUAAUUCGAUGUUACACGAAGAACCUUACCAGGGUUUGACAUGCAAGUGGUAGGAAGCCGAAAGGUGACCGACCCUUCGGGGAGCUUGCACAGGUGCUGCAUGGCUGUCGUCAGCUCGUGUCGUGAGAUGUUCGGUUAAGUCCGCUAACGAGCGCAACCCCUCGCUGUGUGUUAUAUGUGUCACACGGGACUGCCGGUCUUAAGCCGGAGGAAGGUGGGGAUGAUGUCAAGUCAGCAUGGCCUUUAUAUCCUGGGCUACACACACGCUACAAUGGCCAACACAAUAGGUUGCUAAGCCGCGAGGUGGCGCCAAUCCAUAAAGUUGGUCUCAGUUCAGAUUGUAGGCUGCAACCCGCCUGCAUGAAGAUGGAGUUGCUAGUAACCGCAGGUCAGCUAUACUGCGGUGAAUACGUUCCCGGGGCUU
rnacentral:rRNA from 1 species